AAUCAACGCUGGCGGCGUGCCUAACACAUGCAAGUCGAACGCGAAAGCCCCUUCGGGGGCAAGUAGAGUGGCGUCCGGGUGAGUAACACGUGGGUAAUCUACCUCCGGGUGGGGAAUAACUCGCCGAAAGGUGGGCUAAUACCGCAUAAUGCAGCGGCACCGAAUGGUGAUUAGUUGUUAAAGCGGGGGACCUUAGGGCCUCGCGUCUGGAGAGGAGCCUGCGGCAGAUUAGCUUGUUGGUAGGGAAUGGCCUACCAAGGCUGCGAUCUGUAGCUGGUCUGAGAGGACGGCCAGCCACACUGGCACUGACACACGGGCCAGACUCCUACGGGAGGCAGCAGUGGGGAAUUUUGGGCAAUGGGCGAAAGCCUGACCCAGCAACGCCGCGUGAAGGAGGAAAUCCUUCGGGAUGUAAACUUCACAAGCAAGGGAAGAGCGCGCAGGGUCGAAUAAACUCUGCGUCCGACGGUACCUUGCGUAAGCCACGGCU
rnacentral:rRNA from 1 species